rnacentral:rRNA from 1 species
UACGUAGGGUCCGAGCGUUGUCCGGAAUUACUGGGCGUAAAGAGCUCGUAGGUGGUUUGUCGCGUUGUUCGUGAAAACUCACAGCUUAACUGUGGGCGUGCGGGCGAUACGGGCAGACUUGAGUACUGCAGGGGAGACUGGAAUUCCUGGUGUAGCGGUGGAAUGCGCAGAUAUCAAGAGGAACACCGGUGGCGAAGGCGGGUCUCUGGGCAGUAACUGACGCUGAGGAGCGAAAGCGUGGGGAGCGAACAGG